UAAUUGAAGAGUUUGAUCAUGGCUCAGAUUGAACGCUGGCGGCAGGCCUAACACAUGCAAGUCGAGCGGUAGCACAGGAGAGCUUGCUCUCCGGGUGACGAGCGGCGGACGGGUGAGUAAUGUCUGGGAAACUGCCUGAUGGAGGGGGAUAACUACUGGAAACGGUAGCUAAUACCGCAUGACGUCGCAAGACCAAAGUGGGGGACCUUCGGGCCUCACGCCAUCGGAUGUGCCCAGAUGGGAUUAGCUAGUAGGUGAGGUAAUGGCUCACCUAGGCGACGAUCCCUAGCUGGUCUGAGAGGAUGA
rnacentral:rRNA from 1 species